GGCUCCAUGGUCUAGGGGAUAUGAUUCUCGCUUUGGGUUCUUCAACUUGGAUGCGAGAGGUCCCGCGUUCGAAUCGCGGUGGAGCCC